GCGGAUGUGGCGGAAUUGGCAGACGCGCCAGACUUAGGAUCUGGUACCGCAAGGUGUGGGGGUUCAAGUCCCUUCAUCCGCA
rnacentral:tRNA from 1 species